ACCUGUAGAGUGAUUAGCACCCUUCUUGGGGGUGCCCCCCUUUGCCACAGACCAGCUGCAGUCGAUGUCGAUCUAGGGUAGGAAGGGGAGAUGUCCUGGGCCGGCGAUGAGAAAAGAACCUCCUCAAGCAAUAUUCAGGUUCCCUCUGAUAAGUCUCAGGGUCUGAUUUAUUUUUAUAUCUUUAAGCAAUAGCUAGGAGGCAUUGGGCGGAACAUGUUUACAUUUUAGGUUGCCUUAGCAAUAUCUAUUGAAGUAAAGGUUAUUUUUGCUAAAAAGAGUAUAUUUUUUCUAAGCUGAUUCAUUUCGUUGAACAUCAUGAAUACAUUUUAAAAAAUUACAAUUGUCCCCUUAUUUUCCCAUACCUAAGCAGAACAGAAGGUAACUUAAUCAAAAUCUCUAUAUCAGCGGGGGUACAAGCAAGAUUUAAUUAAUUAAAUGUCAAACUUGUGGUCACCAGCUGGCCCUUGAGAAACUGCACAAUGGUUAAUAUAGUUGCUAUUAGCUCUCUAUUUUUCUUUACCUCUAUUCAUCUUAACUAAAUGUCAUUUGGGUUCAUAGUCCAUGAGCAGGAGAUAUUUACAGCACUUUGAGAAAUAUUGAGUAACUUGUCUCCUUAAUGUAUUUACCUGUCUUAACAUUCUUUCUUUUCCAGUUGUCCACUAUUUCUUACAUCUAAAAUCUGUCCUUUCAAUCUCUUCAUAAGACCCCUUUAGUAAAAGAAUGUCAGCAACAAGAGAGGGGGUUAUAGUAGUGGGAAAACGGAAGGGGUUUUAGGAGAGGUUUCCUUAGGAGUGGAUGUGGCAAUAGAACUAAGAGAAACUGGAAUUUGGGGACUUGUGAGCCAGAUCAGAUUUCAAUAUAUCAUUUCCAAUUUGCCUCAUGGAGAGUUUGUUGUUAGUCACAAACACAAUGACUCCUGUGACCAGAGUAACGAUUAUAAACAUUAUGGCAAGAAAAAAAUAAAAUAUGAGGGUACGAUGUGUUCCACCCUUUCUUUCCCCCACCUGGAACUUUGUCAAGCAGCAUUGGAGGUUCUUCUCAUCUGAAACAAAGAAUUGAACAAAAAGAGUAAAAACCAGUGGCCAAGUUUAUUUGAGGAAGUAAGUGAAGAGAGAGAGAGAUACUGGCUCUACAGGAAGCCGUUGGACCAAGUACAGUCAAAGGAGAAAAGGACGCCCUGGAGAAAGCCGAGCACGCUCCCAUGAAGAGAGUCACAAUAGCCAGUUCCAAACAGCGCCUGGUUCCUUAUAUGUUGUCCAGAUCUUGAGGAAACCCGAGAGAACUUCUCCCUGAGAGACAGCACUGGGAUCCCACAGAUCAGGCUGAUGUCAGAUCCAGGCCAUCCUGUUGAAACCUGCUCAAGUGCUCACCAGAAGUCCACGUGCAGGGGGUUGGGAACUGUUCUGGGCAUGUCUGGGAUCUUGUAACUAACAGGUCAUGUCUACUUCCUCAGCCAGCUUUGCUGCGCCCUAAUCUAUCUCAGGAACAGGAGCCCUGCCUGGAAUGAAGGCACCUGGCCAAGGAGGUCCUCAGCAGUAGGUUGCAGACAAGCUUGGUCUCCUGACCUGUGCCCGAGCCCUUGCCUUGGACCCUCUUUACCCUUCAGUGUCCCUGCAAGAGUGAAUUUCCUGCCAGCAGGGACCCUGGUCUCAGGCUGUAGCCCAUGGUUGGUGUGGGUUAG
rnacentral:lncRNA from 1 species